rnacentral:lncRNA from 1 species
CACCAGCUCAGAUGUCAGUUGGAUCACUUUGAAUGAACAUUGGAGUGGCACAAUAAAGUGUCUGUAUUAGGGAGGAGUCUAUAAGGACUGAAGUAAAAGGCACACUUUUGGAUAUUAAUCUGAAUCAUAGCAACUACAUACACUGUAGGUUUCAAAUUAGUUUGAACAAUGAACAACUGAAAAUAGAAAUUUCUUUAAUUGGAAACACUUAAAGGAAUUACAACAUAAUACAUGAUAGUCAUAUGUACAUGAUUAUAGGUAUGUUCAUUAGUUUUACUAGCUGAUAUUUAUGAUUAUCCUGGGACAACAUUUUAUUUUUCCCAAGAGAUUUUACUUGCAUGACAUAGUAAUAAGUUUAAUAGUAACAGAGAAGUGUGAUGGAUAUGUGAAAGUAAUUAUCAUUAGAAAUACAAAGAUUAAACUGUAAUUUUGAUCAUUGUAAAUGAUUGUAUUAUUAAAGAAACAAAAUACAAAAGUCACACAAGGCUAUUUAACAUAAUACAGUCAUAAUACUAGACUGGUUAAAGAACUACUGAAUAGAGGGAUCAUGAAAAUCUUCUAAGAUUACUACCAUAGCUCUGUAACAGGAAAAGGUAUAGUGAGUUAAGGUUUCUUCACCUUGAUGAACAAAAUUAUAUAGCAUUAGAAAACUAUAAUGCCAUCAACUAAUUCCCAUUUAAAAAUUUUCAUGUUGGUCACUGUGAAAUAUAAUCUUGAGGCCAUCUUAAUGAUUGUUUACUAUCUGAUUGAUGACAUGAUUAUAUAUAUUUCCAUGGAAUUCAAGUUGUUUUUUUC